rnacentral:lncRNA from 1 species
UGCUUUCUUUUUCCUACAACCCUCUCAAUACUUUCUUUCAAAACUUCACAACUGUCGUAGAUGACCAAGUACAGCGGCUGUGGUGGUUCGAUCAUGUUCAUCACUAACAAUUUACGAGAUUACCGGUGGGGCGGUAAUCCGUUAUGGCGGACAAGGGGAUGGUGAGACGAUUCACAACGCCGACGGGCGGCGAUUAGGGCCCUACAAGUAGAAUAUGGCUGCUAACAAGUCAAAUGGAGUAGUUGACCUCCGCCGAUAUACAAGGUUGCUCAGAUCAGUAGAAUCAAAGGUUAAUCGGCAAACAACUUCCUGACAAUCAGGAUUCUGUGCGCCGUUAGCUGAGGCGGUGGUGGUGCACGUGUCAGCGGUGUAUAUGGUGGCGGUGGUGAACAUGGUUGUUGUUUUCUUCUACCUGUGAAAUGCAGGGUGCUUCAUGGGUUGAAUAGAGAACUUUGCAAUGAUAUUAGUAGCAAGCUUAUAAGAUUUAUGCAUAAGUAGACAUAAAAUACUAAACUUUUGUGUUAAAUGCUCUUCUAUUUAUCUUAUAGUUAUGUUGCAGAAUAGGAUAAUCCAGUUGGGACAGGAUACAGUUUUGUGGAGGAUGAAGAGUUAUUGGUGAAAAUAGAUGAAGAAGCUGCUAGGGACUUAACUACAUUGUUGAUUAAAUUAUUUAACAGAUAUGUCGUACUGCAGGUUUAGUACGUCCUAUGACAAAUACUCACAUCAUCACAUGACCAGAGAGAUCUGGGACAACGUCGACACCAACGAUUAGUUUCAAGAAAGGGAAAAUUAAAGGAGAAGCAGAAGAUAGAUUUUUUUAUCUGAACCCAAAUAAAGAUAAAGUGAAGCGGAAGAACUGAAUCGGCGAUGCAGAGAUAUGCAGUCAUUAACCUUUGAGGAAAGAAAGGUCAACCCGCUCCACCUCCAGGUACACAUGCAUAAAGGCCAGACCAAAAAACAAUUAGCCAAUUACAAAUCUCCUCGGAUGCAAGUGAUGACCUGUCAACAAAAGGAAAACUUUUUUCAUGAAAGAAUUUCACACGCCUAUGUUUGUAUUGUAAGUCGUAGGAUAACGGAUGUAAGUGGUUUACAAAAUGGUGUUAUAGUUCAUUUUGAACCCAGUUUUCUACACAUUGUUCAUGAUACAUGAAACAACACCAAAAAUCAAUUAAACUUUAAAAUUGCAACUCCCUAUCCCAGUUUUUCAAAGAUGGAAGACAUUUUGACUUGGAAUAAUACGUUUUGAUUCGAGGGUAUUUAAUUCGAGUUACUUUGUGUUUUAGCCAGCCGCAAUGACGGAGGGACUGGUACGUUUUCUUUACCUUUUAUUUGGUUCAACUUUCGAUAUAAAUUUUGCUCAAGAACCACAUAUCUACGUUUCGAGUUAGUAUAGUUUUUAACAUAGAUUUUUUUGGGCUAAAAUAGAAUAUAAAUAAUUGGACGGUAUAAAUUCCAGUUACUCUAUUUCGACGUAAAUUUAGUUCGGAAAGAGUUAGGUACGCCGCCGCAACGCGCGGCGGGUACAAAUACUAGUUGAGGCUUGAAAAGGAUGGCCAGCCAAAAGAAUAAUAAAUAGCUUUUCUUUCAAUAUUGCCUAAUUUUUUUAUAUAACUGUUAAAUUAUUUAUUAAAACUUAAACGUGAGGAGGCAUAUAUUCGACACUUGCCCGAAAACGAAAAAGCACGAGAUUUGCGAAAUGUGGGGUUGGGAGAUGACACCCAUUUAAUUUAAGUUUUUUUCCAAUGUUUAGUUGUUUUUUAUUUUGCUAUGUAAUAUAUUUUUUAAUUUUAAUGAAAUUUAAUUUAGUGUUUUAUUGUUAAUUUCUAAUUUAAAAAAUAAAAAAAAAGUUGUGAGUGAUUGAAUUCCAUCACUAGUGAUGACCACCGCCACUAAAAAAGACUUGUGAGUGAUAGAAUUUGAUUGGAUGUUUGUGAGUGAUAGAAUUUGUGAGUGAUAGAAUUUCAUCAUUUGUGACCACCCCCACUCCCCUAACACCCUAAAUAUAGUUAAUAUUUACUUUUGCGAUAAAUAGUUUGUAUUUAAUUGGUUUGUAUCAAAACAACGAGUCUAUUAACGAAAUAAAACAAAACUUCAUAUACCAUGUGUUGUGAAAUAAUGAUUCUGUGACAUGACUCCCCGACGUUUCCGCCAUCAGGGUGUUACACCUUCACCUUCAAUCUCAUCGUCGUCUUCCCUCACCAUCGCCUCGGUAACCAGCCUUGACAACACCAACAUUGGUAACCAAGCGGAUUCUCUUUGAUUGACUGCAUGUUGGCUUUUGCGGCUUCCCAAUGUCUCUUAUUGCUGCACCAGUCCACCACCAUGGCGUAAGCUUUCCUCUUUCACUCACACUCUUUAUAAUGUGUAAAAACCCUCAUGAAUUUUCUCCUUUUAUUUUGAUUUAUCCAUUUGUUCACUUUGCUUCUCGUGGGUAUGUAUAAGCGUAGGUAGAGCACUUCUGAUGUUGGUGUAUCUUACUAUGGAUGUACGUUUACUCUAAGAAUAGAAAAGGGUUUUUUAUU